CGACUCGGGGAGGUAGUGACAAGAAAUAACGGUACGGGGUCUUUAUAGGUCUCGCAAUUGGAAUGAGUACAAUUUAAAUCCUUUAACGAGGAUCAAUUGGAGGGCAAGUCUGGUGCCAGCAGCCGCGGUAAUUCCAGCUCCAAUAGCGUAUAUUAAAGUUGUUGCAGUUAAAAAGCUCGUAGUUGGAUUUCGGGACGGGUCAGUUGGUCCACCGAAAGGUGUGUUACUGACUGGUCUGUUCUUCUUCGCGAAGACUACGCGUGCCCUUUAUUGUGUGUGCGUAGGAUUUACGACGUUUACUUUGAAAAAAUUAGAGUGUUCAAAGCAGGCUAUCGCUUGAAUACAUGAGCAUGGAAUAAUGGAAUAGGACUUUGGUCCUAUUUUGUUGGUUUCUAGGACCGAAGUAAUGAUUAAGAGGGACAAUUGGGGGCAUCCGUAUUUCGUUGUCAGAGGUGAAAUUCUUGGAUUUACGAAAGACGAACAACUGCGAAAGCACUUGCCAAGAGUGUUUUCAUUAAUCAAGAACGAAAGUUAGAGGAUCGAAGACGAUCAGAUACCGUCCUAGUUCUAACCAUAAACGAUGUCGACUAGGGAUCAGCGGGGUUCAUUUUACGACUCCGUUGGCACCUUACGGGAAACCAAAGUUUUUGGAUUCCGGGGGAAGUAUGGUUGCAAAGCUGAAACUUAAAGGAAUUGACGGAAGGGCACCACCAGGAGUGGAGCCUG
rnacentral:rRNA from 1 species